AGAUUGAACGCUGGCGGCAUGCCUUACACAUGCAAGUCGAACGCGAAAGCGGGGCAACCCGCAAGUAGAGUGGCGAACGGGUGAGUAAUACAUCGGAACGUGUCCAGUAGCGGGGGAUAACCUCUCGAAAGAGAGGCUAAUACCGCAUACGACCUACGGGUGAAAGAGGGGGAUCGCAAGACCUCUCACUAUUGGAGCGGCCGAUGUCGGAUUAGCUAGUUGGCGGGUAAAAGCCCACCAAGGCUACGAUCCGUAGCUGGUCUGAGAGGACGACCAGCCACACUGGAACUGAGACACGGUCCAGACUCCUACGGGAGCAGCAGUGGGGAAUUUGGACAAUGGGCGCAAGCCUGAUCCAGCCAUGCCGCGUGAGUGAAGAAGGCCUUCGGGUGUAAAGCUCUUCGGCUGGGACGAAAGGUCCGUAUUAACACCACGGAUCCAUGACGUACCAGCAGAAGAAGCACCGGCUAACCACGUGCCAGCAGCCGACGGUAAUCUA
rnacentral:rRNA from 1 species